rnacentral:piRNA from 1 species
UAAGAAAUAGGAGAUGGUAGGCCUGGCA